AUACGAAGGGGGCUAGCGUUGUUCGGAAUCACUGGGCGUAAAGCGCGCGCAGGCGGCCAUUUAAGUUGGAUGUGAAAGCCUACGGCUCAACCGUAGAACUGCAUCCAAAACUAUUUGGCUAGAGUGUGGGAGAGGAAGAUGGAAUUAGUUGUGUAGGGGUAAAAUCCGUAGAGAUAACUAGGAAUACCAAAAGCGAAGGCAAUCUUCUGGAACACUACUGACGCUGAGGCGCGAAAGCGUGGGGAGCAAACGGGAUUAGAGACCCGAGUAGUCC
rnacentral:rRNA from 1 species